CAGUUGUCCUGCCAAGGGCAUGGCUGGGUAGCUAUGUACGGAAUGGAUAAGCGCUGAAAGCAUCUAAGCGCGAAGCCAACUUCAAGAUAAGAUUUCCCACCGCAAGGGUAAGACCCCAGAAAGACUAUCUGGUUGAUAGGUCGAAGGUGUAAGUGCAGCAAUGUAUUUAGCUUAUCGAUACUAAUAGGUCGAGGACUUGACCAA
rnacentral:rRNA from 1 species